rnacentral:tRNA from 1 species
AAAUAAGAAACAAAUUUUGUGUUUAGUUUCGACCUAAAAUCUUGAUGAUAGACAUCCUUAUUUU